ACAAAAUGCAACGCAUUUUGAGCGUUGGCAUAGCCAACGCCCCCGAAAAGGGUGAGCAAGUCAGCUAUGCUGAGUUGCGAAUAAACAA
rnacentral:ncRNA from 1 species